rnacentral:rRNA from 1 species
AUUGAACGCUGGCGGCAGGCUUAACACAUGCAAGUAGAGCGAGCGGCGGACGGGUGAGUAAUGUCUGGGAAACUGCCUGAUGGAGGGGGAUAACUACUGGAAACGGUAGCUAAUACCGCAUACCAUCAGAUGUGCCCAGCUGGGGUUCGCUAGUAGGUGGGGUGAUGGCUCACCUAGUCGACGCUCCCUCGCUGGUCUGAGAGGAUGACCAGCCACCCUGGAACGGAGACACGGUCGAGACUCCUACGGGAGGCAGCAGUGGGGAAUAUUGCAAAAUGGGCGCAAGCCUGAUGCAGCCAUGCCGCGUGUGUGAAGAAGGCCUUCGGGUUGUAAAGCACUUUCAGCGAGGAGGCGUUACUCGCAGAAGAAGCACCGGCUAACUCCGUGCCAGCAGCCGCGGUAAUAC